UCCGGUUUAUCACCGGCAGUCACCUUAGAGUGCCCAACUUAAUGCUGGCAACUAAGAUCAAGGGUUGCGCUCGUUGCGGGACUUAACCCAACAUCUCACGACACGAGCUGACGACAACCAUGCACCACCUGUCACCACUGUCCCCGAAGGGAAAGCUAUGUCUCCAUAGCGGUCAGUGGGAUGUCAAGACCUGGUAAGGUUCUUCGCGUUGCUUCGAAUUAAACCACAUGCUCCACCGCUUGUGCGGGUCCCCGUCAAUUCUUUUGAGUUUCAGCCUUGCGGCCGUACUCCCCAGGCGGAGUGCUUAAUGCGUUAACUUCAGCACUAAGGGGCGGAAACCCCUUAACACCUAGCACUCAUCGUUUACAGCGUGGACUAC
rnacentral:misc_RNA from 1 species